rnacentral:rRNA from 1 species
GUCUACAGCCAUGCCACCCUCAACAUGCUCGAUCUCAUCUGAUUUCGGAAGCUAAGAAGGGUUGGGUCUGGUUAGUGCUUGGAUGGAAGACCACCUAGGAAGACGAGGUGUGGUGGGAG